AACAUGAUGCUUUCUGCUGCACAUGCCUUAAAAAGGAAAUGAAUUGAUGUUUUAUACACAACAUGACUUAAGGCUUUCUACAGGGCGAAUUUGUUGUCUUUUACACAGAGAAGAUUGAUUUCUGGCAAAAGCAUGACACUGAGUGUAUGCAGAGCUGCAAGGAGGAAGGAUAUGCAUGGACUUUGAAUCCAUGGUAUAGUACAGAGAACACACCACGGACUCGUCAUUCAAUAGGCAAAGAGGUUACAUGAUGUCUGGAUAUAUGAGACAUGCUUAGAAUGAGUGUACCGAUCUAAAUAAUGCAACAAAAAAGACAAUCAUUCUCAGAAGGCAGUCUCCCACUUGUAUUGUAUUUGACUACUCCUCGGCAUUGUUGUGACCAUCCACUGCCACAUUCACUGACUACUGUGGAGUUAUGAAUAUUCUUCAAAAGGUAAGGAUUAUAUUAGCUGCAACCCUAAAAAUCCCAUCCCUCACUCUAUCUUACUACCAGUCUAUUUACCCCAAAGCGGAGGAGAGCCUGUACUUAUACUGCAAACACAGGGAGCAAGGCAGAACGCACCCUGGGCAUGGGGUUAGUCCAUCACAAGACACAUAUUCAGAAUAAUGCAGUUCAAUAAAAACAAAAACCAAGCAAAACAAAAAUCUUGACUAUCCUAUUUAAAACAUUAAUGAAUAAUCUGGUUGAUUAAACUUUUUAAAAAGAACAGUCUGUAUUUGUAAUCUGAAUUUUAAAUCACAUAUUAA